GACGUAGGGCGCGAGCGUUGUCCGGAUUUAUUGGGCGUAAAGAGCUCGUAGGCGGCUUGUCGCGUCGGCUGUGAAAACCUGAGGCUCAACCUCAGGCCUGCAGUCGAUACGGGCGGACUUGAGUACUGCAGGGGAGACUGGAAUUCCUGGUGUAGCGGUGAAAUGCGCAGAUAUCAGGAGGAACACCGGUGGCGAAGGCGAGUCUCUGGGCAGUAACUGACGCUGAGGAGCGAAAGCGUGGGGAGCGAACAGG
rnacentral:rRNA from 1 species